CGUCAACCUGGCCGGGGCGGUCAUGGCGGGCUCGCUCGUGCUGGCCCUGUUCGCGCUGCGCGCGGGCGAGCGGGAGUUCGACGCGGCCCUCGACAC
rnacentral:tRNA from 1 species